GCAGUCGUGGCCGAGUGGUUAAAGCGACGGACUAGAAAUCCAUUGGGGUCUCCCCGCACAGGUUCGAAUCCUGUCGACUGCG
rnacentral:tRNA from 1 species